ACUGCUGAUCUGUUCUUAUCUGUAUCUUAGCAGUAUCUGUUCUUAUCAGCCAGAUAUCCGAUACGGGUUGUAUUUUGGUCUAAGAGAAACUUAUUUUUGCAAGUUGGAGGAGUGCUUAAGGAACUGCUUCACCUCCGCCGCGUGUCGGCCCGGUAUUUCGCUAUCUUCGGAUCGGCCCACGUAUA